rfam:Lupinus angustifolius cultivar Tanjil chromosome LG19, whole genome shotgun sequence.
AGGUGGGAUCAUACCAGCACUAAUGCAUCGGAUCGCAUCAGAACUCUGUAGUUAAGCGCGCGUGGUCUAGAGUAGCACUAGGAUGGGUGACCUCCUGGGAAGUCCUCGUGUUGCACCUG